rnacentral:rRNA from 1 species
AUUGAACGCUGGCGGCAGGCCUAACACAUGCAAGUCGAGCGGUAACACAGAGGAGCUUGCUCCUUGGGUGACGAGCGGCGGACGGGUGAGUAAUGCCUGGGGAUCUGCCCGAUAGAGGGGGAUAACUACGGGAAACUGUAGCUAAUACCGCAUAACGUCUACGGACCAAAGUGGGGGCUCUUCGGACCUCAUGCUAUCGGAUGAACCCAGGUGGGAUUAGCUAGUUGGUGAGGUAAUGGCUCACCAAGGCGACGAUCUCUAACUGGUUUGAGAGAAUGACCAGUCACCCUGGAACUGAGACACGGUCCAGACUCCUACGGGAGGCAGCAGUGGGGAAUAUUGCACAAUGGGCGCAAGCCUGAUGCAGCCAUGCCGCGUGUGUGAAGAAGGCCUUCGGGUUGUAAAGCACUUUCAGCGGGGAGGAAGGGUUACUAGCUAAUACCUAGUGGCAUUGACGUUACUCGCAGAAGAAGCACCGGCUAACUCCGUGCCAGCAGCCGCCGUAACAC